rnacentral:rRNA from 1 species
GAUGAACGCUGGCGGCGUGCUUAACGCAUGCAAGUCGAACGGUGAAGCAGGAGCUUGCUCCUGUGGAUCAGUGGCGAACGGGUGAGUAACACGUGAGCAAUCUGCCCUGGACUCUGGGAUAAGCGUUGGAAACGACGUCUAAUACCGGAUACGAGGCGUGGGGGCAUCCCCAACGCCUGGAAAGAACUUCGGUCCAGGAUGAGCUCGCGGCCUAUCAGGUAGUUGGUGAGGUAACGGCUCACCAAGCCUACGACGGGUAGCCGGCCUGAGAGGGUGACCGGCCACACUGGGACUGAGACACGGCCCAGACUCCUACGGGAGGCAGCAGUGGGGAAUAUUGCACAAUGGGCGCAAGCCUGAUGCAGCAACGCCACGUGAGGGACGACGGCCUUCGGGUUGUAAACCUCUUUUAGCAGGGAAGAAGCGAAAGUGACGGUACCUGCAGAAAAAGCACCGGCUAACUACGUGCCAGCCGCCGCCGUAACAC